CAUCGGUUAAAGAUACCACCCAUGGAUGGAGGAAAAGUACUUCCAGAGAAAAUGCCACAUCUACAUAUGAGAUAGAUAAGGCAAGUGAAAAUGAUACCACACUUCGGUACUUAGAAGUUUCGUGAUUACUCACUGGCUUGGAUCUUGCAAGUCUCCAACCGAGGAGCUUCCCUUACUCGGGAACUUAGGGGAGCACUGUUUGUACCAUACUUGAGCAAUUCCGAAACUACUGUGUACCGGUCAACGUUAUACCAUCAAGGACCCAUAAGAGUUUCCCUUUAACCAGGAUGCUAAUCACAGCGCGACACAUGUCGACAUCAGAAGCCAACAUAGUGCAACACGUGUUAACAUCAGAAGCCAAUCACAACACGACACAUGUCAAUGUCAGAAUGAAAUUAGAAACUCUCUUCUAUAAAUAGAGAUCAUUCUCUCAUAAUAUUUCCUAAUGUCAUUUGUACUAAAUCAUUCACUUGUACUCACUAAAGGAGAGCUUGAACCUAUGUACUUGUGUAAACCCAUCACAAUUAAUGAGAACUCCUCUACUCCAUGAACGUAGCCAAUCUUGGUAAACCACAUACAUCUUGUGUUUGCUUCCCUAUCUCUAUCCAUUUACAUAUUUAUCCAUACUAGUGGCUGGAGCAAUCUAGCGAAGGUCACAAACUUAACACUUUCUGUUGUACCAAAGUCCUCAUUGAUUUUGUGCAUCAACAAAAGACAAUCUUGGUUUUUCCAAUUUCUCUGGUAGUUCAUAUGAGGAAGUAAGUACUAUCUGCUUUCACAGAGAUCUAUAUUUUUAUUCACAUUCUGAAUGUGAAGUACUUUCUCUUCUCUCAUUAAUCUUCUACUUUUUAUUAGUCACUCUUUUACAAUGGUUGCAAAACAUAGUUACUAGAAUCAAACAUUCAAACAGAAGAACCAACUAUUUUGAAAAUUUUUAAAAACAAUUUACAACACCUUUGAAAGGUGUGUUCUCGACACUUGCAAGACGAUGGUUGCAAAUAACCUUUCCAAUGUCCAUCAUUUUAUAAAGAAAGUUUUGUUCCCUUGGAGUUAUUUUGCCUUCUUCAUUGGACUUCUCCUCUGAUUACAAUAGUAAUGGUCCCUAAACUCCCAUUGUCUCUCUUGAGACUUAUUUCAAUUAUGUUAUACACAUCAAACAAUUUGGAGAGUGUGUGGUUGUUGUUCACUAUAUAGUUUACAAUAAGCUUAGUGAACCAUUUGCAUAGGACACAAAGGUGAAGUCCUAGCUUAGUUUCCAUCCAGUGAAGUGGUUUAACACUUUCAACACUUAAUGAUUCAAAAUCAUCAUUAGUGCAUAUUGAUGGACUAUUUUUGUUAAACAACCAUCUUAUUCUAAACAAGAUUACAAACGUUCAAGAGUUGUUCAAGGCAAGUCUCACUUCUUCAUACAACAAUUUGUAAGUGAAGAAUCAUGGCACAUAAACUGUCCAUGCCUUUGUGCUUACUUCUCAAGUUCCUUGUUCAUUUAACGAAGAAACAAGCACUAUUAUUUGUGUUAACUAAGGGUUAUUCAAAGCAACUCUUAUUUCUUCAUACAAUGAUUUGUAAUUGAAGAAUUAUGGCACUUGGAGUGUCCAUGUCUUUGUGCUAAUCUUCUCAAGUUCCUUUGUUCAUUUAACAAAGGAAUAAGCACAUAGUGUUUGUGUUAUCCUCUUUAUGAUAGACAUAAAUAACAUGUUCUUCCAAUGAUACAUUAUCAAUAGGAAGAUUGUGAGGAGUAGGUACAUAUCCAAUCAAUCCAAGACAAUCUAUGGGAUUGUGGUACCAAGUAUGGAAACUAAAGCCUUCCGUUUUUCUUUGUCAAGUUUUGGAUAGCGCUUGCAAAUAUAUCAGUAAAUAAAUAAAUAACGAAUAUAAAUUGAUUGAUUUUAAGAUAUUUGAUCCGGGUCUUAUAAUCAAAUAGCACCACCCAUUAUUUUGUCAAAUUUCAUAUCCCUCAUUGGAAUCCCGGAGUUUUGGAGGAAACUCUUAGUAUGAUAAGAGCAUAUUUAUGCGACUUUGUUAUCUUAUUUCUUUGCGAUUACUUAGUUAAUUUCCAUUUAUUUUGGUAUUUUAAGUUAUUUUCAUAUUAUUGUAGGUCGAAUUGGUAAAGAUGACAAUAAAUGGCAAAAUGGAGCAAUUUGGAGCAGUUUUGGACUUGGAUUGGACAGCAGGGUUGGAUAGCAUAUGGGCUGACGUUUUUGGUGUUUAAAUGGUGCUAGAUAUGUGCUAAAAUCUGGUGAAAUUAAAGUUGAGGCUUGGAAGACAAGGAAUUACACAAGAAAGAGGAAUUCUAGUUGGAGAUGAACCUUAUCUUAUCCUAUAUUAUCCAAUCUUAUCUUAUUUUAUCUCCAACUGCAAGGAGGAAUAUUUAUCACAUUCCAACACUUCCUAUCUAAUUCUAGGAGUCCUAAAUAAUUCAAACAACCUAAUCUUUUUCCUCCUGGGAUUCAGCUGUGCCUUUACCCUAUAUAUACAUUAUUGCCGCAAAUUAGAGAGGGGAGGAGUGUGUCGUAACCUGCAAUCAUCCAUUGAAGUCGCUGGAGUUUUUUGGGUUCUUUCUAUCUUUAUUUUAAGUUUCAAUGUUUAUUUUAGAUUAUUUUUCAGUUAUGAUGAACAUGCGUAACUAAGUUUCUUUUUAGCUAGAGGUGAAUUCGAAGCCAUGAUCAUAUGUUUUAUAUAAAUUGAUUACAUCCAGUUAUUAUUUCAUAAAACAUGAAUGCGAUUUACUUAUCUGCUUUAUAGAGAACUUAUUAUUUUGUGUUUAUUAAGGGUACACACUUAGUUUGCAUG
rnacentral:lncRNA from 1 species